UACGGGGGGGGGUAAGCGUUGUUCGGAAUUACUGGGCGUAACGGGCUCGUAGGCGGCCAACUAAGUCAGACGUGAAAUCCCUCAGCUUAACUGGGGAACUGCGUCUGAUACUGGAUGGCUUGGAUUCGGGAGAGGAAUGCGGAAUUCCAGGUGUAGCGGUGAAAUGCGUAGAUAUCUGGAGGAACACCGGUGGCGAAGGCGGCAUUCUGGACCGAUAUUGACGCUGAGGAGCGAAAGCCAGGGGAGCAAACGGG
rnacentral:rRNA from 1 species